rnacentral:rRNA from 1 species
UACGCAGGGAGCAAGCGUUGUUCGGAUUUACUGGGCGUAAAGGGCGCGUAGGCGGCAAUUCAAGUCACUUGUGAAAUCCCCGGGCUUAACUCGGAACGGUCAAGUGAUACUGCUUUGCUAGAGUGCGGAAGGGGCAAUCGGAAUUCUCGGUGUAGCGGUGAAAUGCGUAGAUAUCGAGAGGAACACCUGAGGUGAAGACGGGUUGCUGGGCCGACACUGACGCUGACAGCGCGAAAGCCAGGGGAGCAAACGGG